GAUGAGAUGGCCGAGAGGUAAAGGUGAUGGACUAGAAAUCCAUUGUUCGAAUCCCUCCCUCUUCG